rnacentral:tRNA from 1 species
GAAAUUGUAAAAUCAUUGACUUCUAAUCAAAUGAAAAAAGGAAAGUCCUUUCAAUUUCU